CUCGAAGUACAACAGCAAGAACAAUACGACAUCCAUAUAUCAAAAUCAUCAAAAUCUAACACACACAUGCAAAGUUCAAUUGAUUUCAUCAUUUUGUAAUGGUUCAAGUACUACUAUUUAAAUAAAGAAAAACAAUAAAAUAUUCUGACAAACGCUUCUCCAAACAUACAUAUUUACAAACAAAAAAAGUUUGUGUCAACUACAAAAAAGUAAAAGGUAAUUCUGAAGAUAAACAAAUGACAUUUACAUCAGACUAAAGAGGAUGUGCAAUACAAUUCAAUAUCUUUCUUAGACAUAUAUAUCCCAUCUAAUUAACUGGCCCAGACAGUAACGUUAUCUUCUACGAAAAAAACUUUACCAUUUUCUUCCCUUUUUUGAUCUUUCAAACUAUAAUUUUUUAAGGACAGUUCAUCAUGUUGAUCUAACCAUUUGAGAAAACCACACCUCAGGCCCUGCAAUAAAACUCAAACAAAUUCAAGAAAACUGAUUAGAAAACUUUUCAGUUGGAACAACAAUAGAAUUCAACAAAAGAACUAAAAUAUAUAAAACUUUGUGAAUAAAGAUUUCUGAAACACCAAUUAAACUAACAUGUAAUACCAUUAAGCGCAAACAUAAUUAAGAUUCCAGUUAUCAAUAUUGCAUAAAGCCUUUCAUUAACUUGUUGGAUCUUACGAUAUGCAAAUUCCACACAAAAUCAAACAAAAUAGAAAUUUAUUUUGAAGGAAGAAAUUUGAUGAUACCUAGCGAUUGUAAACUUGAGCAGGGACCAAAACUUGCCAGAUUCAAAACCAAAAAUACCAUGACAUGACUAAAUCAACAGGUUGGGUAUGUUUAUUGUUGAUUUUACUGCUCAAAUUAGAUCAAACUAAUAAAAUAGGGCAAGACUAAGAGAAUUAAGUCAUAAAACCUCAUGACAUUGAAAGAUAAAUUUUGGUGAGAAAGAUAUUGCUCCAAAAGGGAAAAAAUGAGUAUUUAU
rnacentral:lncRNA from 1 species